rnacentral:lncRNA from 1 species
GUCUAAUUAUCUAUCCAACCAUAGCUAUAGUCACGCUCUCAUCGUAGGGAGCCCUUCUGAUACCAAGAGUUAUUACUGCCAUAUUCUCAAGUUAAUAUGGGGUUCAACUGCCCUACUUGUUUAGGUGAUCAAGCCUCUCUUCUAGUUUUUGUCUCACCUCAAAGCUUGCAGUUGCUUCCAUCUGGUUCUCAACUUGCAUCAAGUUUUUAUGCUAGAGAGCUUUCAAGUAAUAACCAUUGGGAGCCAGUUGUACCGAUGGAUGCUUACUUAACCCUUUUUUUAAAUAUAUUCGUGGAAAAAUAACAGUGAGGUACAUUUAUUUGAUUAUUUAGUGUCAUGAAUCCAUUAUUUAGUGUCAUUAAUUAUUGUUCAGGAUUUUUUGGUUUGUUUUGGCUAUAAUUGCUGAAUUGCUUGUUCUAGAGUUCAAUUGAAUGGAUACUCUGUGUGAUAUUGGCGGCUACCUACUUGAACUUUCACAUAUAAUCUUUAUAGAACUUCUGGCAGAAAUCCUGAAAUUUAUGUUGAGUUGCACAUCAAAAGAUUCGCCAUGUGUUGUCGUAGGGGAUCCAUGACCACUCAAACUCUCGUCAGGCCUUGGAGAUUUUUUUUUUUUUUAAAUUCCUUUGUGCGUGGUAUCAAACCUUGAAUUUGACAUUGCAAUCCAGUGCUUUUGUUUCCUCAGCUCUUUCUAUUCGACCAAGAGCAAGACAGGCAUGCAUCUGAAAUGCUCUAUUGCAUCCAUUGCUAGUAUACAUGGUAGUUGUAUUUAGUACCACAGCCUGUAAUUUCUUCCAUCCAAUGCCUUAGUUGCCUAUAAUGAAACUAUUGUAGUGGGUUUAUGCGAGCCUGAGAAAUUUUUGAAUCAUUGAAUGUUUUG